rnacentral:snoRNA from 1 species
GCUGGAGGACUAAGAAAGUGGAGCCGGUGACGUUAUAUUGGCUCCACUGAUACUAUCCUCCUAAAUUAAACGGUGGAAGAGCAAGGCCUGCCUGUGAGAUAAAGUCGGGACCUACUUCCUCUACCUACAAGG